rnacentral:lncRNA from 1 species
UCUUCUUUUCUUUUGUCUCGUGAAAACACAGGGUGCAACUGACCAGCAAAUUCUGUGUGUGUGUAAGUUCUGUUGCAUUUGAAGGUACAUCUGGCUUGGUAGUCAAAUGAGGAAGGCGUUUCACUUCACUGUCAUUGUAGGAAUAGGGCACAAGAUCUUUCCUGUUACAAAUCUAGUUGAAAAAGUUUUCCUGUCACCAUGUUUUUUACUGUAUUUGAUGUACAUUGUGUGACUCUGCUGCCUAUGAAGUUUUUUGCCAUGCGAGUCGGAUGACUUAGUUCUUUAUAUGUUAAAUUUUAGAAACUUACAGAUCUGUUUUUAUACUAAAGAACAAGGUUAGUUACACCGCCCGUCACUUGUAAACUGUUCUAAAUUCCAGCUCCCUGUUGGAGAUCAGCUUGUCAACAUUGCCGUUCAUUUCAGAGUAAAAGUACGUUUCCUUGAACAAAUGACCCGAUGAUUGUAAUCCCAGAGGUAGCGAGAAGACAAAGACAGAGCACGUUUCCUUCUUCCCAAGCCGUGAAGGCUUAUGUGAAAUGGUAAAAAAGACUUGGUGGAAAGCGCAUAGGUAGAACGUAGGGUGCUGUUGCCGAGCAACUUCCUCUUCAGUGCCUGAGGAGGAAGGUGAGAAUAUAGAUGUAAACCAGUGACAUAGACUUGUGUAAGCUGGGCUAGGAGGAGAGGUUCCCUCCUUCAGCUGGAGAUUGUGCUGUGUGUCAUUGUACGUGCAUGAAAUACACUGUGCCGCGCUUUCUGGAGUUGGUUUGGACGGUUGGGUUGCCUUUAUCUGACCUUGCUUUGUGCUUUUCUGGGAAAUGACCUGUAAUAUGUUGUAAAUAAUCUAGAUGCUUACGUUUAUAAAGUAGCAAUCAGCAAUUCAUCACCUGACAAUUCCUCCAUAUAGCUAGCCUAGGAAAAUGUAAUAUUUAUUAAAACCGGAAUCAAUGUUGGAACUGCUUACUUGAGAUCUAAACACUUCCCAAUCUUUGCUAUGUUUGAAUCGAUCAAAUGCAAAUUAAAGUAUUUUCUGCUACA